UUCAGUGAUGUAAUAGCCCUAACUUGUGUGUCUGGGUGAGAGAGUGAGAUUAGGCGCCUUGAAAGUGUUCUGAUUGCUAUGUUAUGCAAGCAGUACUCGAUGUACUCGUAACAUAUGCCAAAUUUAUUUGUGAAAUUCCUUCUCUCUGAUUUUAUCACAGUUAUCUGGAGCCUAACACUUUAAUAGCAAGGACUAUAUUUCUGAAUACACCUUUAAUUUAUAUAAAUAAAUUGAUUUACUAAACACAUUUACAAAAUAUAUCAGUUAAAUAACUUAAAGGUGUAUUCAUUGCUAUUAAAAGAAGUUAUUGUAAUGUAGCAUCUUAUCCCAUUUUGAAUGAUUCUCAGCUUUUGAAUUUUUCCAAAAUAGGACUUUUGUAGUUAAAUUUAAAAACUUGACAGUUUUUUUUUUGUUUUUUCUUUUUGCUGUGGAUAAGCAUGUAAAAAUAUACAUAUAAAGUAUCUUGAGGAAGCUCAUAUUUGCUAAUUAUGCAUAUAUAAGAUUUCAUACUUUAGAUAUUGUUGAAAUGAUGUUUUACAUCUGAGUUUCAAAUUAAACGUUUACAUAUGAAGUCACUUUGGAUUUGAAAGCUGCGUUUUGUUCAGUAAUACAUUUUUUUUUGAAAAGGAAAACUGAGACUAGCAGAACUUCAAAGCAUAUUAGGUGCCAAAAAGGAUUAAUUCAGUGCUAAUUAAAAGUGGAUAAACAGCUAUUCUUAAUUUUUGUAAUUCAUGCCUGUGAUUAUGUUUCUUCCAAAGUAGUACAUGAAGUUUGUCAAAAUGUAUCUUUUUUUUCAGAAGAAAAUUAGUUCAAUGUUAGGUAUCCAAAGGAAAUAUGAAUGAAAAUCAACUACUGUGUACAUGAUAUAAAACGUGCAAAUAUGCAAGAUUCAUACCAUUUUUCAUGAGAAGUUUAUCUUGUAUGUUACUGUACUAUCACUAAACUUUGUAUAUUUAGAUGUAGCCUUAAUUUCCAGGAAAUGUUUAAUUAGCAGAUGGUUUUUAACUCACUGAUAUUUGGCUGUCAUCAUUAUAUAUAGAGUGACUACUUGCAGAUAGAAUCGUAGUACAUAAUUUGGGAAAAUUCUAUGUGUCAAAAGUUCAAAAACAGAAUGAUGUUUAAAAGACAUUUAGGGAGUGAGAGGAGACAGAAUAAACACUUCGUUUUCCCAUAUUCUCUAAGGUUUAUCCAUUUUUUGCUCUCUAAAUGGACGUUUUGUUUAAGUAACGAUAUUUUUUUCCUUUGAAGAGAAAGGGUUGAAUUUUAAGGAUUCAUGGCUUUUGUCCCUUAGUUUUUCUACCCCAUCUCAACAAUCCCCCCAGUCAUGAAUACUGGCGAUUACUCCUCUGUCUUCCUCUCCAUUCUUUCCUGAAAUCAAAUAUCCAUUUUUGCUUUUAAAAAUGCAAAUUACAGAAAUAUUCUACUGGCAGUUACAUUCAGUUUUUUUGGAGAACCUUUUUAAAAGAAAUAAAAAUAAUGCUACACAAAACAAAGUUAUAUUAUCAAUCUUCAACUAUCACAGAAAUUUAUUUCUGAAAGAACUAAACAUUUCUACUUAAGAUGUCCACGUGACAGCUAACAUAAGGAUUGCAGGGGAUUCAAAGGUAAGCCUUUUAAUUUAUAUUCAAAUUAAGUCAAUAUUCAUAUUUAAUAAGAAAAGAACUGAUCAUUUCACCAACCUUUAUCAUUAGCAGGAGUAUACAUUUUAUUCAAUACCAGAGGCUGUUUGCAGAUCCAUUCUUAAUUAUGCAAAAAUUCCUUGUAACACAGGUGGCGGAGAAAUAUUAUGUGAAGGGAAAGAAAAAAAAGAAAAAAAACCCAGAUGACAAAUCUUGUAUUUUCCAUACUGACUGAAAUACGCAGUGGAGAGCCAGUAAGAACUUACUACAUGAUGGGAAAUGAGAAAAAGCAGCCGUUGCAGUCUGAUGAAGAAUAGAACAGUGUUUCCCUAAGUAAUACUUCACAAAAGAAUGGUAGUUUUCUGGAGUAUUGGAUAUCAUUAAAAAAUAGGUAGGUAGG